UACGGAGGGAGCUAGCGUUGUUCGGAUAUACUGGGCGUAAAGCGCACGUAGGCGGCGCCGUAAGUCAGGGGUGAAAUCCCGGAGCUCAACUCCGGAACUGCCUUUGAAACUGCGGUGCUAGAAUCCUGGAGAGGCGAGUGGAAUUCCGAGUGUAGAGGUGAAAUUCGUAGAUAUUCGGAAGAACGCCAGUGGCGAAGGCGACUCGCUGGACAGGUAUUGACGCUGAGGUGCGAAAGCGUGGGGAGCAAACAGG
rnacentral:rRNA from 1 species